rnacentral:lncRNA from 1 species
UCACCUUCUCAUCAAGGCUUAAGGAGAAAAGAUCGAUGUUGGUAGUCUCCUACCUCCUUCGAUGGAGAAUCAACUCUGGAUUAUUCACCGCGGCCUGGAACAUCCCACUGAGAAGAAGAUCUCGAGUUAAAGGUUUGGGAGAUUGAGCGGUGCCUCAGUGAAGUAUAAAAUGGGAGUUAGAAGAAUGAUGAUAGCCUCAAUUUUAAUUAUUGACCCUCUUCUUUUCAUACCAUACUAAGUGAACCGAUCCUAAGCCAGUUCAAGAUACUUCAAAUA